rnacentral:tRNA from 1 species
GGACAGUUGGCUGAGCGGUUGAAAGCACCGGUCUUGAAAACCGGCGAGGGUAACACCUUCGGGGGUUCGAAUCCCUCACUGUCCGCCA